rnacentral:rRNA from 1 species
CCUACGUGAGGCAGCAGUGAGGAAUAUUGGUCAAUGGGCGGAAGCCUGAACCAGCCAAGUAGCGUGCGGGAUGAAGGCCCUACGGGUCGUAAACCGCUUUUGCACGGGGAUAAAACCCUCCACUUGUGGAGGUCUGCAGGUACCCUGCGAAUAAGGGCCGGCUAAUUCCGUUCCAGCCGCCGAGGUAAAACGGGAGGCCCGAGCGUUAUCCGGAUUCAUUGGGCUUAAGGGGAGCGUAGGCGGGCGGUCAAGUCAGUGGGACAAUCCCGCGGCUCAACCGCGCCCCGCAGUUGAAACUGGGCGCCUUGAGUUCACAACAGGCAGGCGGAAUUCGUGGUGGAGCGGUGAAAUGCAUAGAUAUCACGAGGAACCCCGAUUGCGAAGGCAGCCUGCCGGGGUGCGACUGACGCUGAGGCUCGAAGGUGCGGGUAUCAAACAGGAUUAGAUACCCCAGUAGUC